GAUGAAGAACGCAGCGAAAUGCGAUAAGUAAUGUGAAUUGCAGAAUUCAGUGAAUCAUCGAAUCUUUGAACGCACAUUGCGCCCGCCAGCAUUCUGGCGGGCAUGCCUGUUCGAGCGUCAUUUCAACCCUCGAGCCCCCCCCGGGGGCCUCGGUGUUGGGGGACGGCACACCAGCCGCCCCCGAAAUGCAGUGGCGACCCCGCCGCAGCCUCCCCUGCGUAGUAGCACACACCUCGCACCGGAGCGCGGAGGCGGUCACGCCGUAAAACGCCCAACUUUCUUAGAGUUGACCUCGGAUCAGGUAGGAAUAUCCGCUGAACUUAAGCAUAUCAAUAAGCGGAGGA
rnacentral:misc_RNA from 1 species